rnacentral:rRNA from 1 species
CAAUAGCGUAUAUUAAAGUUGUUGCAGUUAAAAAGCUCGUAGUUGGAUUUCUGGUGGGAGCGAUCGGUCUGGCGCUUAGCGCGAGUACUUGCAUCGUCUCCGGCCAUCCUUGGGGAGAGUCUGUCUGGCAUUUGGUUGUCGGGCAGAGGAUCCUCAUCGUUUACUGUGAAAAAAUUAGAGUGUUCAAAGCAGGCUUAUGCCGUUGAAUAUAUUAGCAUGGAAUAAUAAGAUAGGACUUUGGUACUAUUUUGUUGGUUUGCGCACCAAAGUAAUGAUUAAUAGGGACAGUUGGGGGUAUUCGUAUUCCGUUGUCAGAGGUGAAAUUCUUGGAUUUACGGAAGACGAACUACUGCGAAAGCAUUUACCAAGGAUGUUUUCAUUAA